rnacentral:rRNA from 1 species
GGGUUGUGAGGUUAAGCGACUAAGCGUACACGGUGGAUGCCCUGGCAGUCAGAGGCGAUGAAGGGCGUGCUAAUCUGCGAUAAGCGCCGGUAAGGUGAUAUGAACCGUUAUAACCGGCGAUACCCGAAUGGGGAAACCCAGUGUGACUCGUCACACUAUCAUUAACUGAAUCCAUAGGUUAAUGAGGCGAACCGGGGGAACUGAAACAUCUAAGUACCCCGAGGAAAAGAAAUCAACCGAGAUUCCCCCAGUAGCGGCGAGCGAACGGGGAGGAGCCCAGAGCCUGAAUCAGCAUGUGUGUUAGUGGAAGCGUCUGGAAAGGCGCGCGAUACAGGGUGACAGCCCCGUACACAAAAGCGCAUGUGCUGUGAGCUCGAUGAGUAGGGCGGGACACGUGGUAUCCUGUCUGAAUAUGGGGGGACCAUCCUCCAAGGCUAAAUACUCCUGACUGACCGAUAGUGAACCAGUACCGUGAGGGAAAGGCGAAAAGAACCCCGGCGAGGGGAGUGAAAAAGAACCUGAAACCGUGUACGUACAAGCAGUGGGAGCCCCACCACCAAAGCAUUUGCUGUACCGCGUUGACGGAGCGAAGCGACGUCAAACCGAUAAAACAGCAGUGUAAAGUGAGCCGCAGGGCGCUUUGCGCGACAGCGCAAAGGCAGGCGGUUUCGCGUAGCGAAAGCGAAUGCUUUGGGGUGGGGUGACUGCGUACCUUUUGUAUAAUGGGUCAGCGACUUAUAUUCUGUAGCAAGGUUAACCGAAUAGGGGAGCCGGAGGGAAACCGAGUCUUAAUUGGGCGUUAAGUUGCAGGGUAUAGACCCGAAACCCGGUGAUCUAGCCAUGGGCAGGUUGAAGGUUGGGUAACACUAACUGGAGGACCGAACCGACUAAUGUUGAAAAAUUAGCGGAUGACCUGUGGCUGGGGGUGAAAGGCCAAUCAAACCGGGAGAUAGCUGGUUCUCCCCGAAAGCUAUUUAGGUAGCGCCUCGUGAAUUCAUCUCCGGGGGUAGAGCACUGUUUCGGCUAGGGGGCCAUCCCGGCUUACCAACCCGAUGCAAACUGCGAAUACCGGAGAAUGUUAUCACGGGAGACACACGGCGGGUGCUAACGUCCGUCGUGAAGAGGGAAACAACCCAGACCGCCAGCUAAGGUCCCAAAGUCAUGGUUAAGUGGGAAACGAUGUGGGAAGGCCCAGACAGCCAGGAUGUUGGCUUAGAAGCAGCCAUCAUUUAAAGAAAGCGUAAUAGCUCACUGGUCGAGUCGGCCUGCGCGGAAGAUGUAACGGGGCUAAACCAUGCACCGAAGCUGCGGCAGCGACACUGUGUGUUGUUGGGUAGGGGAGCGUUCUGUAAGCCUGUGAAGGUGUGUCGUGAGGCAUGCUGGAGGUAUCAGAAGUGCGAAUGCUGACAUAAGUAACGAUAAAGCGGGUGAAAAGCC